UCUGACUACCAGUGUAGUUUUUGAAAACUUCAUACGCAUNGGUGACCCACCGGAUGUCAUGUCGCUUCUAAGUUCUUGGAUGGCCCUUAGAUUGUGCUCGUUCAUCGAUUGUAGUCGUGGUAGGCUUAGGAUUUCACCGUGCCCCGUUAUUGACAGCAAAGGCGAAGCUACGAUUCCUGGAACUUUCCUCAAUGCUUUGUUGAGGUUUAAGAACAGGGUGCUGUUGAUCACGGUUCUGUCUUCGAACGUGAUGAGGUGGGCCUCUCUUGUCGUCCUUAGAGGUCCAUUGUCAACGCUGACCGUUGCUCGCUGCCCAUUUAUGAUGAUUAUGCCAUCGUCCACUACUACAGCAUUGAUGCAACAGGAUGGUGGUGGCCAGGUGGCUGGGUUGCGUGCGUCAUGAAGCAGAGCCGCCGGCGUGUACUUCGCGACAUAAAGAUAAUUUUAACCUGGGAGCAUUCUACUUAAAUAUGAAAUGAAAAAUUCUUAUAUUCUUACAUACUCCCAACAAAUAAGCUACUGGGACCUCUGUGAGCUGUUCGGUAAAAAUAGAUUUUAGGUCUUAGUGGGAUAUUCGCUUUGGCAAGUGUGAUCGUAAUCAUGAGAUUUGGACUACCGAAAUUAGCAUCCUGUUUCUGUGCCUCUGUGUUAAUCAGUACUCAGUUAAUCAGUCUAUUGUUUGAUUCUCCAAGCUGCUAUUUUUUCGAAGCCCAACUCGUCGGGGGUACUUGCUACGACCUUUAAUGCUGUUAUCAGGAAGUCUAGGCUUCUGGCCAUGUAUCCUUAAAGCGGACAACGGAUUUUUUUAUGUUCUAUAUCUGAAUGUGGGAACAACUCAAACAUUUUAACGGUAUAAAAGGCGGUGAUCCGCGCAGUUGUAGUAGAAGGGAGUAGGAAGAGUAUUCCGUCAAACCUGCGGGAAUGAUACCUUAAAUCU
rnacentral:lncRNA from 1 species